rnacentral:rRNA from 1 species
GAUGAACGCUGGCGGCGUGCCUAAUACAUGCAAGUCGAGCGAACGGACGAGAAGCUUGCUUCUCUGAUGUUAGCGGCGGACGGGUGAGUAACACGUGGAUAACCUACCUAUAAGACUGGGAUAACUUCGGGAAACCGGAGCUAAUGCCGGAUAAUAUUUUGAACCGCAUGGUUCAAAAGUGAAAGACGGUCUUGCUGUCACUUAUAGAUGGAUCCGCGCUGCAUUAGCUAGUUGGUAAGGUAACGGCUUACCAAGGCAACGAUGCAUAGCCGACCUGAGAGGGUGAUCGGCCACACUGGAACUGAGACACGGUCCAGACUCCUACGGGAGGCAGCAGUAGGGAAUCUUCCGCAAUGGGCGAAAGCCUGACGAAGCAACGCCGCGUGAGUGAUGAAGGUCUUCGGAUCGUAAAACUCUGUUAUUAGGGAAGAACAUAUGUGUAAGUAACUGUGCACAUCUUGACGGUACCUAAUCAGAAAGCCACGGCUAACUACGUG